rnacentral:lncRNA from 1 species
CCCCCGAACCUACCGCCGAAAGACCCCUGUCCAGCCUUCCUUUACCCAUUUUUCCAUGCAUGCUUAUGAUGUUUUAGAGGGAUUUUGGGGAGAUGUUCAGAGUCAUGUUAGAGUAUGUUUGGUUCUCAUUUGAGUCCACCUGUGUAGGUACGGACUCGAAGAACCAAGGAGGCCCACAGAGUUAGAGUUACAGAGACUGUUACAGCAGUUGUCUGAGGUGAGUAGAACAGAACUAUAUUUUUAAGUUAAUGAAUGUUUCAGCAUGAUUCAUGCAUCAUAAAUGCCAUGUUUAUGAUAGGAUGUAUUGCAUUGCAUUAGUAUUCACAAAGAUGUUGCAUUGCAUUAUUUGCUGUUGAUGUGGAUGGACCAAGGCGACCCCAAUAGCCCAAGAUCUGUCAUAUACUGUACGACCUGUGUGAGCUCCUUAGGGGGCCGGGCAUUAAGCUUAGGUAAGUCCUGUGUGAGCUCCUUAGGGGGCCGGGCACUAUGAGAUGUGAUGAAAGUCCUGUGUGAGCUCCUUUGGGGGUCAGGCACCGACAGAGGGAGUUUUGAGGUCAUGUCCAAUCCGUUAUGUGAAAUGUUUGUGCUGU